UUGGGUCUAAGUUGUAAUAUGGCUAUUUAGGCUGAUGUUAUUUUAUUUGGGCUGUAUUUGACUGUUAUUUAUUGGACUUUUAUUUUUUUUGGUUUAUUUUUUUGUUUAUUUAAUUGGGCCCAGGCAAAUUGGGCCUAUUACAGCUGCCCUUCUUUGCUCGUUGUCGUGUAAUGGGAAUGGAGUAAAGACUAAAAAGGGUCAAUUUUCCCCAGUCUUGCCAAAUCUUGACUUCUUUUGGUGCUUCUCUUAUUCACGUAGCCUCGUUCUUACUCGCUGCAAAUUUAGGGAGAAGAGAUUUGUAACUUCGAUCUACUCCGUUGUAAUUUUAGG
rnacentral:lncRNA from 1 species